AGAGUUUGAGCGCAUCUGUAAGAGAGAGGUGAAGGUGCCUGGUUUGGUGAUAAUGAGAGAUGUAACCAUUGCUAAAUCUGAGUUUGUUGAAGUUUAGAAGGCUGUGACCAAACUUCAGGACUUCCAGGAAGAUCCCGAUCUUUUCCGCUAUUGCACUUUACCACAGAUCCUGAAGUAUGUGGAGUGUUCCACUGGACCCACAUCAUGGCCAUGCACACCAUGCUCAUCAACAAACCACUUGACACGUGUAUAUGUGCAAACCUGGCCAUCUCCUGUCACUACGCCAGCUCUGACUGCUUUACAUUGAUGUAAAAAGGAUCAGCUCAGGAGAACAUCAGCAAUGAAGUGAAAGAACUUGCAGCUAAGAAGUAUGGAGUUGAUGAUACAGUCACAUUUGAGGACACCUGGGCUUUGCGGGGACAUCUGAUCCAAGGAAACCGAACAUCACUGUGAUUGCCAGUGCUCAUCUGUCUGCUUAGAGAGAGAACAGCUUCACAACUGGAAUGAUUUACAGCACACAGCUGUUUGUUAAUUAUUAAACAAUUGCCCUAAAAACUAAUAAUUAAAUAUGCUUUCACUAACUAAAAAAA